rnacentral:rRNA from 1 species
AGAGUUUGAUCCUGGCUCAGAGUGAACGCUGGCGGCAGGCCUAACACAUGCAAGUCGAACGAAAAGGUCUCUUCGGAGUUACUCGAGUGGCGGACGGGUGAGUAACACGUGGGUGAUCUGCCCUGCACUUCGGGAUAAGCCUGGGAAACUGGGUCUAAUACCGGAUAGGACCACGGGAUGCAUGUCUUGUGGUGGAAAGCGCUUUAGCGGUGUGGGAUGAGCUCGCGGCCUAUCAGCUAGUUGGUGAGGUAAUGGCUCACCAAGGCGUCGACGGGUAGCCGGCCUGAGAGGGUGACCGGCCACACUGGGACUGAGACACGGCCCAGACUCCUACGGGAGGCAGCAGUGGGGAAUCUUGCGCAAUGGGCGAAAGCCUGACGCAGCAAUGCCGCGUGAGGGAUGACGGCCUUCGGGUUGUAAACCUCUUUUAGCAGGGAAGAAGGUCCGGGUUCUCUCGAAGUGACGGUACCUGCAGAAAAAGCCCCGGCUAACUUCGUGCCAGCAGCCGCGGUAAUACGAAGGGCGCAAGCGUUACUCGGAAUUAUUGGGCGUAAAGAGCUCGUAGGCGGUUUGUCGCGUUGCUCGUGAAAACCCGAGGCUCAACCUCGGGCCUGCAGUGGGUACGGGCAAACUAGAGUGCGGUAGGGGAGAUUGGAAUUCCUGGUGUAGCGGUGGAAUGCGCAGAUAUCAGGAGGAACACCGAUGGCGAAGGCAGAUCUCUGGGCCGUAACUGACGCUGAGGCGCGAAAGGGUGGGGAGCAAACAGGCUUAGAUACCCUGGUAGUCCACCCCGUAAACGAUGAUAGCUAGUUGUGGGUUUCAUGCAACCAAUUCGGUGACGAAGCUAACGCAUUAAGCUAUCCGCCUGGGGAGUACGGUCGCAAGAUUAAAACUCAAAGGAAUUGACGGGGACCCGCACAAGCGGUGGAGCAUGCGGUUUAAUUCGAAGCAACGCGCAGAACCUUACCAGGGUUUGACAUGCACAGGACGCGUCUAGAGAUAGGCGUUCCCUUGUGGCCUGUGUGCAGGUGCUGCAUGGUUGUCGUCAGCUCGUGUCGUGAGAUGUUGGGUUAAGUCCCGCAACGAGCGCAACCCUCGUUCUAUGUUGCCAGCACGUAAUGGUGGGAACUCAUGGGAUACUGCCGGGGUCAACUCGGAGGAAGGUGGGGAUGACGUCAAAUCCUCAUGGCCCUUAUGUCUUGGGCUUCACGCAUGCUACAAUGGCCGGUACAAAGGGCUGCAAUACCGCAAGGUGGAGCGAAUCCCAAAAAGCCGGUCCCAGUUCGGAUUGAGGUCUGCAACUCGACCUCAUGAAGUUGGAAUCGCUAGUAAUCGCGGAUCAGCAAUGCCGCGGUGAAUACGUUCCCGGGUCUUGUACACACCGCCCGUCAAGUCAUGAAAGUCGGUAACACCUGAAGCCGGUGGCCCAACCCUUGGGAGGGAGCCGUCGAAGGUGGGAUCGGUAAUUAGGACUAAGUCGUAACAAGGUAGCCGUAGGGGAACCUGCGGCUG